rnacentral:rRNA from 1 species
CUACGGGCUGCAGCAGGCGCGAAACCUCUACAAUGCACGAAAGUGUGAUAGGGGGAUUCUCAGUGCUCAAGUUAUGCUUGGGCUUUUGCCAAGAGUAAGUAUCUUGGAGAAUAAGUGGUGGGCAAGACCGGUGCCAGCCGCCGCGGUAAUACCGGCGCCACGAGUGGCAAUCACGAUUAUUGGGCCUAAAGCGUUCGUAGCCGGUUUAGUAAAUUCUUUGUGAAAUCGUACAGCUCAACUGUACGGCGUGCAGGGAACACUGCUGAACUAGAGACCGGGAGGAGUCAGAGGUAUGCUUAGGGGACCGGUAAAAUGGGAUAAUCCUAGGUAGACCACCGAUGGCGAAGGCAUCUGACCAGAACGGAUCUGACGGUGAGGGACGAGAGCCAGGGGAGCGAUCCGGAUUAGAUACCCGGGUAGUC